AGACCCGAAACCCGGUGAUCUAGCCAUGGGCAGGUUGAAGGUUGGGUAACACUAACUGGAGGACCGAACCGACUAAUGUUGAAAAAUUAGCGGAUGACCUGUGGCUGGGGGUGAAAGGCCAAUCAAACCGGGAGAUAGCUGGUUCUCCCCGAAAGCUAUUUAGGUAGCGCCUCGUGAAUUCAUCUCCGGGGGUAGAGCACUGUUUCGGCUAGGGGGCCAUCCCGGCUUACCAACCCGAUGCAAACUGCGAAUACCGGAGAAUGUUAUCACGGGAGACACACGGCGGGUGCUAACGUCCGUCGUGAAGAGGGAAACAACCCAGACCGCCAGCUAAGGUCCCAAAGUCAUGGUUAAGUGGGAAACGAUGUGGGAAGGCCCAGACAGCCAGGAUGUUGGCUUAGAAGCAGCCAUCAUUUAAAGAAAGCGUAAUAGCUCACUGGUCGAGUCGGCCUGCGCGGAAGAUGUAACGGGGCUAAACCAUGCACCGAAGCUGCGGCAGCGACACUGUGUGUUGUUG
rnacentral:rRNA from 3 species